rnacentral:tRNA from 1 species
GUGACUAUAAUUUAUUGUUGAGAAUUCCACGUUGUGGUUGUGGAGACCUGGGCUCGAAUCCCAGUAACCACA